rnacentral:rRNA from 1 species
GACGAACGCUGGCGGCGUGCUUAACACAUGCAAGUCGAACGGAAAGGCCCUGCUUUUGUGGGGUGCUCGAGUGGCGAACGGGUGAGUAACACGUGAGUAACCUGCCCUUGACUUUGGGAUAACUUCAGGAAACUGGGGCUAAUACCGGAUAGGAGCUGCUGUUGCAUGGUGGGGGUUGGAAAGUUUCGGCGGUUGGGGAUGGACUCGCGGCUUAUCAGCUUGUUGGUGGGGUAGUGGCUUACCAAGGCUUUGACGGGUAGCCGGCCUGAGAGGGUGACCGGCCACAUGAGGACUGAGAUACGGCGCAGACGCCAACGGGAGGCAGCAGUGGGGAAUAUUGCACAAUGGGCGGAAGCCUGAUGCGGCAACGCCGCGGGCGGGAUGACGGCCUUCGGGUUGUAAACCGCUUUCGCCUGUGACGAAGCGUGAGUGACGGUAAUGGGUAAAGAAGCACCGGCUAACUACGUG